rnacentral:rRNA from 1 species
UGGAUAACCUGCCCUGGUAUCUGGGAUAACAUCUCGAAAGGGGUGCUAAUACCGGAUAAGCCCACGGGAUCUUCGGAUUCUGCGGGAAAAGGUGGCCUCUAUUUAUAAGCUACCGUAUCAUGAUGGGUCCGCGUACCAUUAGCUAGUUGGUGGGGUAAUGGCCUACCAAGGCGACGAUGGUUAGCUGGUCUGAGAGGAUGAUCAGCCACACUGGAACUGAGACACGGUCAGA